rnacentral:tRNA from 1 species
GGGAUUGUAGUUCAAUUGGUUAGAGCACCGCCCUGUCAAGGCGGAACCCGUAGCUUCGGGUUCGAGCCCCGUCAGUCCCG